rnacentral:rRNA from 1 species
UACGUAGGCAGCAAGCGUUGUUCGGAAUUACUGGGCGUAAAGCGAGCGUAGGCGGUUUGCCAAGUCCGUUGUGAAAUCUCCCGGCUCAACUGGGAGGGUGCGCUGGAAACUGGCAGGCUAGGGUGCGGUAUGGGAGAGUGGAAUUCCUGGUGUAGCGGUGAAAUGCGUAGAUAUCAGGAGGAACACCAGUGGUGAAGACGGCUCUCUGGACCGUUACUGACGCUGAGGCUCGAAAGCGUGGGGAGCAAACAGG